UUUGACGUUACCCGCAGAAGAAGCACCGGCUAACUCCGUGCCAGCAGCCGCGGUAAUACGGAGGGUGCAAGCGUUAAUCGGAAUGACUGGGCGUAAAGCGCACGCAGGCGGUCAAUUAAGUUAGAUGUGAAAUCCCCGGGCUCAACCUGGGAAUGGCAUCUAAGACUGGUUGGCUGGAGUCUCGUAGAGGGGGGUAGAAUUCCAUGUGUAGCGGUGAAAUGCGUAGAGAUGUGGAGGAAUACCGGUGGCGAAGGCGGCCCCCUGGACGAAGACUGACGCUCAGGUGCGAAAGCGUGGGGAGCAAACAGGAUUAGAUACCCUGGUAGUCCACGCUGUAAACGAUGUCGAUUUGGAGGUUGUGGCCUUGAGCUGUGGCUUCCGAAGCUAACGCGUUAAAUCGACCGCCUGGGGAGUACGGCCGCAAGGUUAAAACUCAAAUGAAUUGACGGGGGCCCGCACAAGCGGUGGAGCAUGUGGUUUAAUUCGAUGCAACGCGAAGAACCUUACCUACUCUUGACAUCCAGAGAAGACCUCAGAGAUGAGGUUGUGCCUUCGGGAGCUCUGAGACAGGUGCUGCAUGGCUGUCGUCAGCUCGUGUUGUGAAAUGUUGGGUUAAGUCCCGCAACGAGCGCAACCCUUAUCCUUUGUUGCCAGCGCGUGAAGGCGGGAACUCAAAGGAGACUGCCGGUGAUAAACCGGAGGAAGGUGGGGAUGACGUCAAGUCAUCAUGGCCCUGACGAGUAGGGCUACACACGUGCUACAAUGGCGGAUACAAAGUGAAGCGACCUCGCGAGAGCAAGCGGAACACACAAAGUCUGUCGUAGUCCGGAUUGGAGUCUGCAACUCGACUCCAUGAAGUCGGAAUCGCUAGUAAUCGUAGAUCAGCAUGCUACGGUGAAUACGUUCCCGGGCCUUGUACACACCGCCCGUCACACCAUGGGAGUGGGUUGCAAAAGAAGUCGGUAGCUUAACCGCAAGGAGGGCGCUGACCACUUUGUGGCUCAUGACUGGGGUGAAGUCGUAACAAGGUAACCGUAGGGGAACCUGCGGUUGGAUCACCUCCUUACCU
rnacentral:rRNA from 1 species